rnacentral:rRNA from 1 species
UACAGAGGGGGCAAGCGUUGUUCGGAAUUACUGGGCGUAAAGGGCGCGUAGGCGGCCUGCUAAGUCGAACGUGAAAUCCCCGGGCUCAACCCGGGAACUGCGUCUGAUACUGGAUGGCUUGGAUUCGGGAGAGGAAUGCGGAAUUCCAGGUGUAGCGGUGAAAUGCGUAGAUAUCUGGAGGAACACCGGUGGCGAAGGCGGCAUUCUGGACCGACAUUGACGCUGAGGAGCGAAAGCCAGGGGAGCAAACGGG